rnacentral:rRNA from 1 species
GGUUAAGCGACUAAGCGUACACGGUGGAUGCCCUGGCAGUCAGAGGCGAUGAAGGACGUGCUAAUCUGCGAUAAGCGUCGGUAAGGUGAUAUGAACCGUUAUAACCGGCGAUUUCCGAAUGGGGAAACCCAGUGUGUUUCGACACACUAUCAUUAACUGAAUCCAUAGGUUAAUGAGGCGAACCGGGGGAACUGAAACAUCUAAGUACCCCGAGGAAAAGAAAUCAACCGAGAUUCCCCCAGUAGCGGCGAGCGAACGGGGAGCAGCCCAGAGCCUGAAUCAGUGUGUGUGUUAGUGGAAGCGUCUGGAAAGGCGCGCGAUACAGGGUGACAGCCCCGUACACAAAAAUGCACAUGCUGUGAGCUCGAUGAGUAGGGCGGGACACGUGGUAUCCUGUCUGAAUAUGGGGGGACCAUCCUCCAAGGCUAAAUACUCCUGACUGACCGAUAGUGAACCAGUACCGUGAGGGAAAGGCGAAAAGAACCCCGGCGAGGGGAGUGAAAAAGAACCUGAAACCGUGUACGUACAAGCAGUGGGAGCACGCUUAGGCGUGUGACUGCGUACCUUUUGUAUAAUGGGUCAGCGACUUAUAUUCUGUAGCAAGGUUAACCGAAUAGGGGAGCCGAAGGGAAACCGAGUCUUAACUGGGCGUUAAGUUGCAGGGUAUAGACCCGAAACCCGGUGAUCUAGCCAUGGGCAGGUUGAAGGUUGGGUAACACUAACUGGAGGACCGAACCGACUAAUGUUGAAAAAUUAGCGGAUGACUUGUGGCUGGGGGUGAAAGGCCAAUCAAACCGGGAGAUAGCUGGUUCUCCCCGAAAGCUAUUUAGGUAGCGCCUCGUGAAUUCAUCUCCGGGGGUAGAGCACUGUUUCGGCAAGGGGGUCAUCCCGACUUACCAACCCGAUGCAAACUGCGAAUACCGGAGAAUGUUAUCACGGGAGACACACGGCGGGUGCUAACGUCCGUCGUGAAGAGGGAAACAACCCAGACCGCCAGCUAAGGUCCCAAAGUCAUGGUUAAGUGGGAAACGAUGUGGGAAGGCCCAGACAGCCAGGAUGUUGGCUUAGAAGCAGCCAUCAUUUAAAGAAAGCGUAAUAGCUCACUGGUCGAGUCGGCCUGCGCGGAAGAUGUAACGGGGCUAAACCAUGCACCGAAGCUGCGGCAGCGACGCUGAUGCGUUGUUGGGUAGGGGAGCGUUCUGUAAGCCUGCGAAGGUGUGCUGUGAGGCAUGCUGGAGGUAUCAGAAGUGCGAAUGCUGACAUAAGUAACGAUAAAGCGGGUGAAAAGCCCGCUCGCCGGAAGACCAAGGGUUCCUGUCCAACGUUAAUCGGGGCAGGGUGAGUCGACCCCUAAGGCGAGGCCGAAAGGCGUAGUCGAUGGGAAACAGGUUAAUAUUCCUGUACUUGGUGUUACUGCGAAGGGGGGACGGAGAAGGCUAUGUUGGCCGGGCGACGGUUGUCCCGGUUUAAGCGUGUAGGCUGGUUUUCCAGGCAAAUCCGGAAAAUCAAGGCUGAGGCGUGAUGACGAGGCACUACGGUGCUGAAGCAACAAAUGCCCUGCUUCCAGGAAAAGCCUCUAAGCAUCAGGUAACAUCAAAUCGUACCCCAAACCGACACAGGUGGUCAGGUAGAGAAUACCAAGGCGCUUGAGAGAACUCGGGUGAAGGAACUAGGCAAAAUGGUGCCGUAACUUCGGGAGAAGGCACGCUGAUAUGUAGGUGAGGUCCCUCGCGGAUGGAGCUGAAAUCAGUCGAAGAUACCAGCUGGCUGCAACUGUUUAUUAAAAACACAGCACUGUGCAAACACGAAAGUGGACGUAUACGGUGUGACGCCUGCCCGGUGCCGGAAGGUUAAUUGAUGGGGUUAGCGCAAGCGAAGCUCUUGAUCGAAGCCCCGGUAAACGGCGGCCGUAACUAUAACGGUCCUAAGGUAGCGAAAUUCCUUGUCGGGUAAGUUCCGACCUGCACGAAUGGCGUAAUGAUGGCCAGGCUGUCUCCACCCGAGACUCAGUGAAAUUGAACUCGCUGUGAAGAUGCAGUGUACCCGCGGCAAGACGGAAAGACCCCGUGAACCUUUACUAUAGCUUGACACUGAACAUUGAGCCUUGAUGUGUAGGAUAGGUGGGAGGCUUUGAAGUGUGGACGCCAGUCUGCAUGGAGCCGACCUUGAAAUACCACCCUUUAAUGUUUGAUGUUCUAACGUUGACCCGUAAUCCGGGUUGCGGACAGUGUCUGGUGGGUAGUUUGACUGGGGCGGUCUCCUCCUAAAGAGUAACGGAGGAGCACGAAGGUUGGCUAAUCCUGGUCGGACAUCAGGAGGUUAGUGCAAUGGCAUAAGCCAGCUUGACUGCGAGCGUGACGGCGCGAGCAGGUGCGAAAGCAGGUCAUAGUGAUCCGGUGGUUCUGAAUGGAAGGGCCAUCGCUCAACGGAUAAAAGGUACUCCGGGGAUAACAGGCUGAUACCGCCCAAGAGUUCAUAUCGACGGCGGUGUUUGGCACCUCGAUGUCGGCUCAUCACAUCCUGGGGCUGAAGUAGGUCCCAAGGGUAUGGCUGUUCGCCAUUUAAAGUGGUACGCGAGCUGGGUUUAGAACGUCGUGAGACAGUUCGGUCCCUAUCUGCCGUGGGCGCUGGAGAACUGAGGGGGGCUGCUCCUAGUACGAGAGGACCGGAGUGGACGCAUCACUGGUGUUCGGGUUGUCAUGCCAAUGGCACUGCCCGGUAGCUAAAUGCGGAAGAGAUAAGUGCUGAAAGCAUCUAAGCACGAAACUUGCCCCGAGAUGAGUUCUCCCUGACUCCUUGAGAGUCCUGAAGGAACGUUGAAGACGACGACGUUGAUAGGCCGGGUGUGUAAGCGCAGCGAUGCGUUGAGCUAACCGGUACUAAUGAACCGUGAGGCUUAACCUU